UACGUAGGGUGCAAGCGUUGUCCGGAAUUAUUGGGCGUAAAGAGCUCGUAGGCGGUCUGUCGCGUCUGCUGUGAAAACUCGGGGCUUAACCCCGGGCCUGCAGUGGGUACGGGCAGACUAGAGUGCGGUAGGGGAGACUGGAAUUCCUGGUGUAGCGGUGAAAUGCGCAGAUAUCAGGAGGAACACCGGUGGCGAAGGCGGGUCUCUGGGCCCGUAACGACGCUGAGGAGCGAAAGCGUGGGAGC
rnacentral:rRNA from 1 species